UUUUGAAGCUUUUGAUGCUAGUUUGUUGAAUGGCGGCGCAUUUGUGCCUGAUACGGAGGUGCCGCUUGUUACCGAGACUGCGAUUCAGAGUCGGAGCGGUGGCCGGAGUGUGUUUCUGGUGGAUUAUGUACCUCUCUGGGCUUGUGUGUCGUUGUGCGGGAGGAGACCGGAGAUGGAGGAUGCAGUGGCCACAAUGCCGUGGUUAUGUGAGAUUCCGCUCCGGAUGCUGACUGCUGAGCAGAUGAUUGAUGGCUUGGAUCCUAGCGUGAUUCGGGUUCCUGCUCAUUUCUUUGGAGUCUACGAUGGUCAUGGUGGAUCGCAGGUUGCAGACUAUUGCCGUGAUUAUCUCCAUCUCGCAUUGAUGGAGGAGCUGAGAAAUCGGCAGCAAGACAUGAAUGGAAGCGGGGUUGAUUGGCAGAAACAGUGGGAGAAAGCAUUCGUCAAUUGUUUUCAGAGAGUCGAUGAUGUGGUCGGGGGGAGGGUAAGCGAAAGUAGUGCGGGAAGCACCGCGGAUUCAGUUGGAGAGAACAGUAGUGAUCCAUGUAGUACACCAUCGGAGCCGGUUGCCCCGGAGACUGUUGGGACGACAGCUGUAGUAGCUGUUAUCAGUUCCUCGCACAUCAUUGUUGCUAAUUGUGGGGAUUCGAGAGCGGUCCUAUGCCGUGGAAAACAAG
rnacentral:misc_RNA from 1 species